UUAGGAAUAUUGGGCAAUGGAGGAAACUCUGACCCAGCAACGCCGCGUGAAGGAUGAAGGUUUUCGGAUUGUAAACUUCUGAUCUGUGGGAAAAACAAAUGAUGGUACCACAGGAGAAAGCUCCGGCAAACUACGUGCCAGCAGCCGCGGUAAUACGUAGGGAGCAAGCGUUGUCCGGAAUGACUGGGCGUAAAGGGAGCGUAGGUGGCCUUUUAAGUGAAAUGUGAAAGCCCGGGGCUCAACUCCGGAAUGUCAUUUCAUACUGGAAGGCUGGAGUGCAGGAGAGGUAAGCGGAAUUCCUAGUGUAGCGGUAAAAUGCGUAGAUAUUAGGAAGAACACCAGAGGCGAAGGCGGCUUGCUGGACUGUAACUGACACUGAGGCUCGAAAGCGUGGGGAGCAAACAGGAUUAGAUACCCUGGUAGU
rnacentral:rRNA from 1 species